GUGCUUGCUUCGGCAACACAUAUACUAAAAUUGGAAUGAUACAGAGAAGAUUAGUGUGGCUCCUGCGCAAGUAUGAUACAUAAAUUUGUGAAGCGUUCCACAUAAAA
ensembl:snRNA U6 U6 spliceosomal RNA